rnacentral:rRNA from 1 species
UACGUAGGUGGCAAGCGUUGUCCGGAUUUACUGGGCGUAAAGGGCUUGUAGGCGGUUCGUUAAGUCCGGUGUGAAAUCUCCCGGCUCAACUGGGAGGGGUCAUCGGAUACUGGCGGACUGGAGGUGGGCAGAGGACAGUGGAAUUCCCAGUGUAGCGGUGAAAUGCGUAGAUAUUGGGAGGAAUACCAGUGGCGAAGGCGGCCUUCUGGACGGUGACUGACACUCAGACGCGAAAGCGUGGGGAGCAAACAGG